rnacentral:rRNA from 1 species
GACGAACGCUGGCGGCGUGCUUAACACAUGCAAGUCGAACGGAAAGGCCCUGCUUUUGUGGGGUGCUCGAGUGGCGAACGGGUGAGUAACACGUGAGUAACCUGCCCUUGACUUUGGGAUAACUUCAGGAAACUGGGGCUAAUACCGGAUAGGAGCUCCUGCUGCAUGGUGGGGGUUGGAAAGUUUCGGCGGUUGGGGAUGGACUCGCGGCUUAUCAGCUUGUUGGUGGGGUAGUGGCUUACCAAGGCUUUGACGGGUAGCCGGCCUGAGAGGGUGACCGGCCACAUUGGGACUGAGAGACGGCCCAGACUCCUACGGGAGGCAGCAGUGGGGAAUAUUGCACAAUGGGCGGAAGCCUGAUGCAGCAACGCCGCGUGCGGGAUGACGGCCUUCGGGUUGUAAACCGCUUUCGCCUGUGACGAAGCGUGAGUGACGGUAAUGGAUAAAGAAGCACCGGCUAACUACGUG